rnacentral:antisense_RNA from 1 species
AGGGUCUGACCCCAUGUGUAUUUAUCA